rnacentral:rRNA from 1 species
UACAUGGGGUGCAAACGUUGCUCGGAAUUAUUGGGCGUAAAGCGCACGUAGGCGGUUUGUUAAGUCGGAUGUGAAAUCCCUCGGCUCAACUGAGGAAGUGCACCCGAAACUGGCAGGCUUGAGUACUAAAGAGGGUCGCGGAAUUCCCGGUGUAGAGGUGAAAUUCGUAGAUAUCUGGAGGAACACCGGUGGCGAAGGCGGCGUCCUGGACCAACACUGACACUGAGGAGCGAAAGCCAGGGGAGCAAACGGG